CAUGAAUCGAGAUCCAGUAAAGGAGGUCUUCGAAUCACUGACUCAAACCCAUUGGCGAAUCCUACUCAGCGGA
rnacentral:tRNA from 1 species